GGCCGAAUUAUAUGAUUAUAAUCCAAAGACAGAGAGAAAUUUGAGCAUUCAAGUUUGAAUUUGGAGGUUAGAACAUAUAAGGUAUAUUUUCCGUCAGAUGUUAUUUUCUUCAAUGGAUUUGUCUAUUAAGAUCAUAAGAGCAAUGAUACUUCUUGCUGGUUAUACAAAAUUUAGAGUUUUAUGGGAGUUUAAGAGAUUCUUAGGGAGACAUGGAGUAUG
rnacentral:lncRNA from 1 species